AUUUAUCAUACCUUAUUUUAAAAAAAUCUUAUCUUACUUUCCAUUCCUUUACCUUACCUUAUUUUAAAAAAACCUUACCUUGCUUCCUUAUAUACUUCUUCCAAAUGAAGUAUAAGAUUCAUAUUUUAUGAAAAUUAGAAUUCAUUCGUAUGAAUCGAUUGGACAAUUGACGAAUCAAUGAAUUUAAUUGAAUAUAAAGUGAACGAGUCAUUUCAUUAAAAAAAAAAUUGAGAUUGACUAAUGUGAGUUGACUACAUAACUAGCGAAUCGAUCAACUUGAUUAAGUCAUCUCAUAAAAAAAAAAUUUAACUCAAACUCUUUAUUAAGUCCUUUUUAGAACUG
rnacentral:misc_RNA from 1 species